AGCGAACGCUGGCGGCAGGCUUAACACAUGCAAGUCGAACGGGCAUAGCAAUAUGUCAGUGGCAGACGGGUGAGUAACGCGGGGUAACGUACCUUUUGUUUCGGAACAACACAGGGAAACUUGUGCUAAUACCGGAUAAGUCCUUACGGGGAAAGAUUUAUCGCCGGAAGAUCGGCCCGCGUCUGAUUAGCUGGUUGGUAGGGUAAUCGACUACCAAGGCGAGGAGCAGUUGUUGGUCUGAGAGGAGGAACAGCCACAUUGGGACUGAGACACGACUCAAACGCGUACGAGAGGCAGGGGAGAGGAAUAUAGGAGAGUGAGCGAAAGGCUGAGCCAGCGAUGCCGGGAGAGUGAUGAAGGCGCUAGGGUUGUAAAGCGCUUGUGUGCGAGAAGAUAGUGACGGUACCGAAAGAAUAAGCACCGGCUAACUUCGUG
rnacentral:rRNA from 1 species